GUUCUAGAUGCAGAAUUAGGCCAUUCGGCCCAUCAAGUCUACUCCACCAUUCAAUCAUGGCUGGUCUGUCUUUCCCUCUCAACCCCAUUCUCCUGCCUUCUCCCUACAACCCCUGGCACCCUUACUAAUCAAGAGUUUGCC